GCCUAACACAUGCAAGUCGAGCGGCAGCGCGAUAUGUAGCAAUACAUAUUGGCGGCGAGCGGCGGACGGGUGAGGAACACGUAGGAACCUACCCUCGAGUGGGGGAUAACCAAGGGAAACUUUGGCUAAUACCGCAUGAACUCGAGAGAGCAAAGCUGCCGCAAGGUGGCGCUCGAGGAGGGGCCUGCGUCCGAUUAGCUAGUUGGUGAGGUAAGAGCUCACCAAGGCGAUGAUCGGUAACUGGUCUGAGAGGACUAACAGUCACACUGGGACUGAGACACGGCCCAGACUCCUACGGGAGGCAGCAGUGGGGAAUAUUGGACAAUGGGGGCAACCCUGAUCCAGCGAUGCCGCGUGAGUGAAGAAGGCCUUCGGGUCGUAAAGCUCUUUAGGUUGGGAAGAAGGGUGAUGGAGGAAAUGCUAUCACUUUGACGGUACCGACAGAAUAAGCCCCGGCUAACUU
rnacentral:rRNA from 1 species